UAAGGAAAAUUUGUUGAAUUUUCAAGAAAUUGGUGACUAAAGGUGGUGAGCCCUCGGAUAAGGGCAAAGGUAUUGCACCCGAGGAUCGAGACUAGGAGUGUUGUAAAUUCCCGUCAAAGCUAGGUAGUAUUAUGUUAGCCACGUUAUGCUGUCAAAAUUUUAUUGAUUGGUCGGUUAUUUAAUUAGCCACUGCAGUAGGCGGGUUUUCGUGGAUCAGCCUA